rnacentral:rRNA from 1 species
UGGGGAAUAUUGCACAAUGGGCGCAAGCCUGAUGCAGCCAUGCCGCGUGUAUGAAGAAGGCCUUCGGGUUGUAAAGUACUUUCAGUCGGGAGGAAGGUGUCAAGGUUAAUAACCUUGGCAAUUGACGUUACCGACAGAAGAAGCACCGGCUAACUCCGUGCCAGCAGCCGCGGUAAUACGGAGGGUGCAAGCGUUAAUCGGAAUUACUGGGCGUAAAGCGCACGCAGGCGGUUGAUUGAGUCAGAUGUGAAAUCCCCGGGCUUAACCCGGGAAUUGCAUCUGGUACUGGUCAGCUAGAGUCUUGUAGAGGGGGGUAGAAUUCCAUGUGUAGCGGUGAAAUGCGUAGAGAUGUGGAGGAAUACCGGUGGCGAAGGCGGCCCCCUGGACAAAGACUGACGCUCAGGUGCGAAAGCGUGGGGAGCAAACAGG